rnacentral:rRNA from 1 species
GACGAACGCUGGCGGCGUGCUUAACACAUGCAAGUCGAACGGAAAGGCCCUGCUUUUGUGGGGUGCUCGAGUGGCGAACGGGUGAGUAACACGUGAGUAACCUGCCCUUGACUUUGGGAUAACUUCAGGAAACUGGGGCUAAUACCGGAUAGGAGCGCCUGCUGCAUGGUGGGGGUUGGAAAGUUUCGGCGGUUGGGGAUGGACUCGCGGCUUAUCAGCUUGUUGGUGGGGUAGUGGCUUACCAAGGCUUUGACGGGUAGCCGGCCUGAGAGGGUGACCGGCCACAUUGGGACUGAGAUACGGCCCAGACUCCUACGGGAGGCAGCAGUGGGGAAUAUUGCACAAUGGGCGGAAGCCUGAUGCAGCAACGCCGCGUGCGGGAUGACGGCCUGCGGGUUGUAAACCGCUUUCGCCUGUGACGAAGCGUGAGUGACGGUAAUGGGUAAAGAAGCACCGGCUAACUACGUG